CUUGUUCAAAUUAAAACAAGCAGGACCUAACGCACCGAGCACACAUUUGUCCCACACACAUGAAGUCUUUUUAGAAUUUCUAAUACAUACGGAGUGGGAGUAGUGGAGGCAGGUGAUAAUCAGUGCUCAGGAGUGACCAAUCAAAAGCAUGCUGAAACAAAAUCUGAAAGCUAACCCUUUUCAUCUCACUAAGUGGAAAUGCUCUAUUUUUGCCUUGAAGAAAUCCACAACUGCUUCAACUCCAGCAGUCUAACCUUCCCAAACUGAAAUGUUGUUGCUGCCCUGUUUUUUUAUCAAAUUCUCUACCUCCUCCAGCGCCUAUCCGAGCUCCUUGUACGGCAGAACCUGCAGAACAAGAACCUCAUGAGCAAGAAUCUGAAGAAUACUGCUGAAAGAACAAGAACCUGAAGAAAGUCACAAUUAAGGUGAUACUGAUGAAAGUGCAUUUUGAUGUGCUUUUGACAUUAUUAUUUGAAGGAGCAGAUGCUCAAAUUGAAACAGAUUAUUUGGGUAUGGUACUUUAAUUCCAGAUGAUCAACAAAUGUCAUGUUUUGAUUCAUGGAUCAUGCAUAUAUAUCCUGCCAUUCCAGCUCAAGUUAGACUAAUGCAGCAAGACCAUAAACAUGUACUCCUGGUAUACAGCGGAGCAUACGGCAUACAGCGGAGCAAGCUAAUGCUGCUACAGUGCUGAAUUAAACAUUCUUUAGGCCUCCUUUGGUUCAUAGGAUUGGAAAAUCAUAGGAAUAGGAAAGUCAUAGGAAAUGAGAUGACAUGCAUCUCAAAUCCUAUAAAUAGGAAUAGAAAAAGAGAUGCCCUUUGAUUCACACCAUAGGAUUUUUUCCAUUGAGUCUAGGCUAAUGUUUGUUUUCCUAUGAAAUGUGGAGGAUAGGAAGAAUUCCUCCAUAGGAAUAGGAUUUCAUUCCUACAAACCAAAGAGCUCUGAAGGAAUUUUUCCUAUAGAAAUCCUAUCCUAUGAAAAUCCUACAAAAUUCCUCCAAACCAAAGGAGGCCUAAGAUGUCUAUGCAUUAAUGUAAUGCAUGAAAGUCACUACAAACAAGCAAAUACUCAUGUUUUUCUGUAGUACUCAUGUUAUCAAGCAGAAAAGGAAAAGAAGAGAAAAGAAACAACAUUCAUGGGAGUGGGAGAUGCUUCUGAUAAUCUGAUGCCAAAAAGAAAUGAAGAAAAUAAUGAUGUCUUUGUACAUACGGCCAUAAACCCCAAUGAUAGAGCGAGCAUGAACACUGAACAGGGAAAGCAAACGGUGCUCCGGCCUCCGGAUCCAGUCAGAAAACGAUCAAGGCAUCACGUUCCCAAAUCCUACCUCACCUGGUCAUUAUCAGUCCCUUUAAUGUUCUGGAUCAGGAGCAAGGUGUACUCCUCCCUGCCUUUUUGUUUGCCCUAAUCCUACUCCCCUUUUUUGAAAGGGGUUUUUGUUUUGGAAUUGGAAUUCUUAUCCGAAUAAGCAGACCCUUCAGUAUCACUGCCAUUUCUGUAGCAUUCCAUAAUGGUAGUGUUCUUUUUUCCUUAUUGUGUGAUCUAAAUAAGCACAUUCCAAAAGCUAUAAGCUGCUUUAACUGAACAUUUACAGACAUCUGUUACUACUGGAUAAUCACCACAUUACUACUACUGGUCACUACACUACAUGGUCAGAUUUGAGAAGAGAGCGAACUUUGGCUACAUAAGAUAUUGUACAUAGCAAUAGAAAGAAAUAGCCCAUAUGUCCAUAGCAAUAGAAAGAAUUACUCUAGCACAUUUGUACUUGCUGCAGAAAUUAUAUGUUUGGUCACAACUACUCAGGGUAUAUAAUCUCCUACUCCAAAUAGCUAUAAACAGAUAGAAUCAAUAGCAACUCCAAAUUAAAUGACCAUAGUAAUUAGGAACAAUUUGCUGUAAAUUUACUCCUGAUAUUAGGAGUACUGUAAUUUACUCCUGACAUUUUGCAAGAUUACUACUGGUACAUUUAAAUAGAACAAUUUGCUGAAAAUAGGAGUACAUCAUGAUGUUGAAAUGAUGAUGAACAAGUACUCCAGCAGUUAACAGGAACAAAUCAUUGCAGCAACACAUGAAUUAAACCAUGUCACAAGUCCGGUGCUAGCUAUCUGUGGCACCAUAGAGAAGAGGAGGAACUCACCUAGGUGGUUGUUGCCGAGGUAGAAGCUCGUCGCCGCCUCCCUGCACGGCGAGGAAGAAGCUGCAGCACCGAGAGAGCCACGUCUUUAACAGUAACAGUAACAAUCUAUUACCUGCAAGAAGAAUGAAGAACAAUCUCUUGAAUUACAGUACACUCACAUAGUUAUUGCUGUGGCCAAGAAUAAAAUGUUUAAACACUGAAUUUACUCCAAGAACUUAAACAACAGUCUAGAAUAUUGAAGUACAUCAAGCAGCAGAGAUAUCAUCCUCCCACACUUGUUCAUUUGUUCUUAAGAAGAUAAACAUCAUCAUAGUACUCGAAUUACAGAAAAGUUCCAGAAAUAAUGACUGAAACUUGGAAGCUGGGUCACAAUCAGGAGUAAUUGUAGCAAUGAGGAACUAGCGAAAAUACUGCAUUCCUAAUUAACUCUGAACAUGGAUUGAUUACUCAUCGAGGAGACACAGAACGCUGCGGACAGAGAAGCAGCAAUGAAAAUGAGACGGAGAAUGUUGGGCAUCAAUUACUCUUAGGAAGAUUUGGAACCACCGCAGAUUAAGUCGAGAAAGGGAAGCACCACGGAUUAAGGCGAAAUUACUCCAUCUAUAUGUCAGUGCACUCUCCGCCCGCCAUGGAGGACCUGCUCCUCCCCGCUGGCCGCCUUCGCCGCUACCGGAUCCAGCACCGCCGCCAGAUCAGCCAAUUUGGACCCAAAAAAUGAGCUUUUUUGGAGCCAGGCAGAUGCGUCGGGGGCAGCGGCGGGCGAAUGCGUAGGCGGAAGCGGCGCUCGACGGGCAUAUGCGACGGCAGCAGCGCUCGCUCUGCCGGGGCAUGCGACGUCGCGCCGGCGCUGGGACGGCGGAGAAAUUCGGGGGGUGCGGGCGGAAUGGUGGAUGCGAGUUGAGUGGGCGAUGCGACGACGAGAACUGAUGAUUCUCUGGACUGUUAGUUGUGUUGUCUCCCAAAAACUUUCAGGUUUUUAUUUGUUUGUAAAUUUACCACUAGCAACAGAUAUUUGGGGACGGAGGGAGUACUACUUUUGGCCACAGCAGUCCGGGCCAUCGGCGGCCAUGCGCUUGCCCGGCGCGCAAAUGCAGAGGAGGCGUGAGGGAGAGGACAGGGGCACGGGAAAGAAUGAGGAGGAGGCGUAGAAGGGUUCGUCACCGGCAUGGCAGCACUCUCCGGUCGGAGUGGCGCCUGAGGGCCGCGGGGCUGGAGGGAUAGGGGCAACGGGUGCUCGCUCCUCUGUG
rnacentral:lncRNA from 1 species